ensembl:lncRNA
GCGUGGAAGAGACUCCACAAUGAUGAGAUAUGGUGCCCAUCCUUAUGGAACUUACAUCUGGUUGGGGAGAUGAAUCGCAGCCACUUCAAAAAUUAACUGCAUUACAAGUGGCCAGUGGAUACCUAACUUUAUCAUCCUGGUUGCACUGAGGAUUGUUCCAGGCUGAGCAGACAACUAAACAAAACGAGGAAUACUGGGAUGCUCUGGUUCCACAACAGAAAUACAGCUGAAGGGGAUAUUCUUAGAUUUUUCUUUUCUUCUUUGCUAUAACCUGUGAUAAAUAUUGUAUAUCUCAGCAACAUAAGGAAAAAAUGAUUGAUCCUUUCUCAGUGAUAUAGAUAUGUGGCUGUAUAUGUUAUAUGCAGAGUGAAUGAUUGAGAGAGAACAGGAGAGAGGGGCAAAGAGAGAAAUACAAGGCACUAUGAACAGAAUUGCUAAUAGCAAUCUAUGAAAGGCAUGUCAGGAGUGCUGGAG